GGGAGCGGUGGGGGGGCCUGCCCGUGGGAUGGCCGCCCGUGAGGACGCUUUGGGGUUUUUUUUGCGGAGUCCCGGCCCUCCUUGGGGCGUAAAGCCUAGGAGCGCUUGGCCCUGCCCGAGGUGGUUUGCCCCGAGUGUGGGGCCGCUGCCUCUGGCGGGAGAAGGGGUGUGAGGUGCCUCCGUGCCUCGUCCCCUUCCAGCUUUAUUUAGGAGCAGGUUUCUCUGAGGCGGCAGCGGGUCCCGGCUGGGCGGGGAGCGGUGUGACACCGGGCGGGGGAGGCGGGGGCUGCGCUGCCCCAGCGGGUCCUGCUCGUCCCGGCUGUGUUUCGGGGGUGGUGACAUCCGAAAUGGUGUCUAAAAACAGUGCUUAAUGGCUGGCGGUUUUUAUAGAUUGUAAUCGGCCCAUUAGGUGUACAGAUAUCAGACAUCGUGAUGCCGUGGCCCUUGCUGCUGUCCCGUUAGGAUGCAGAGCAGGCCUAUGGAGAAUAUUUCAAAGUUUAUCCUGGAAGAUAAUAUUUAUCAAAAUGCGACAUCUUCUGUAGAAAAGAUAAAGCCUUUUUUGAUAUCUGAGCAAAAUCCACAGUAUCAUCCCUACACAAUGUGUGCAUAGUGGAGAAAUACACAUUUGGUGUGUGUCUUGAUGUAAUAGAGGAUUUGUGUUCGUUUCUUAGAAUUGUAAUAUGAAGCAUGUUCUGUCAAAUUGAAUAUGCCCUGGCACAGAUCUGGGUAGACUCCAUAUCUUCUGAAGUAUAAAUCCUUACAAAUCAUGUUAGAAGAGUUAUUCUUCCCAAGAUAAUUAUUCAAAGGAUUUUGAAGAUCUGAAUAGAUGACGGCACCAGGGAUGACUGUAGAGAGAAGCUGUAACUGCAGUUUUACCAACAGAUGCAGAAUGAAUGAGAUACCUUCUGACUGUCAUUGUUGCCAUCAGCAAGUAGAAAAACUAUUCAUGUCAAACCAGUACAUCACCGAUGGGGAGCAUGACUAAGAAGACAGUGCUGGCAAUAGUGGAAGUCCUGUAACCACGUGUGCAUUGUACCUUCUGUCAUACUCCAGCCUGUGAGAACUUCUGAAAAAUUUGAGAAGGCUUUUCUGUUAAAACAAAUGUUCAUGAAUAUCAGUGUUGUACUUUUGUAAUUUUAAGUUAAAAGCUGCUAAACAGUCGCAAAAUAA